UGAUCAUGGCUCAGGAUGAACGCUAGCGGCAGGCCUAACACAUGCAAGUCGAGGGGUAACAGAGGGUGCUUGCACCUUGCUGACGACCGGCGCACGGGUGCGUAACGCGUAUGCAACCUACCUUUUACAGGAGGAUAGUCAAUAGAAAUGUUGAAUAAUACUCCAUACGAUCUUUGAGUGGCAUUACUUAAAGAAGAAAGCUUUUGCGGUAAAAGAUGGGCAUGCAUCCUAUUAGUUAGUUGGUGAGGUAACGGCUCACCAAGACAUCGAUAGGUAGGGGCCCUGAGAGGGGGAUCCCCCACACUGGUACUGAGACACGGACCAGACUCCUACGGGAGGCAGCAGUGAGGAAUAUUGGACAAUGGAGGCAACUCUGAUCCAGCCAUGCCGCGUGCAGGAAGACUGCCCUAUGGGUUGUAAACUGCUUUUAUACAGGAAGAAACACUCCGACGUGUCGGAGCUUGACGGUACUGUAAGAAUAAGGAUCGGCUAACUCCGUGCCAGCAGCCGCGGUAAUACGGAGGAUCCAAGCGUUAUCCGGAAUCAUUGGGUUUAAAGGGUCCGCAGGCUGUU
rnacentral:rRNA from 1 species